UCCUGUCGAGCCGGCGAAAUUAGGGCUGAAGCUCCAGACUCUGCAUCAGCGCCUCAAUUGUCGAGGAUUCUUUAAGUCGGUGUCGGAGCGGAGACCGGCGUCGCUGUAGAUGGUUUCGUCACUCCGCUGCACUGAUAAAACUCAUGAGAAGAGUUUCUAUGGCAUAAGGGAAGAAGAGAUGAAGUGGACUAGAGUUGCAGCAGGAGUCUAACUAUCUGACCACGAUUUUGGAGUCCUCAUCGUUAGGUUUAGUUUUUAUAUGAUCUGUUCGACAUCGUUAAAAGGAGAGAUUGCUGUCACUUCCGGAGCUCAGGAGAAGCUGUAGCUUGCAAGUCUUCGGGUGAUUGGAAAUAUGGAGCUUCUGAGGUAAGGUGUACGAGGUUUUUAGAGCCGGUAGAAGGGCUGAUUGACUCCAUCGAUGGCGAUUGCCCGAUCGAGAAUGGUAUUCGGCAGCGCAUAUCUUGGGAGGAUUGAUAUGGCGAGGUUAUGAUUGAAUUUGCGUUUGAAGGCGUGACUGCGGUAGUUGUCGUUACAAUGAAGUGCCAUUUUUUUGUCGUGCUUGUGUGGCUGUACUAUAUACAUAUAUAUAUAUAUAUAUAUAUAUUGUUAUUAUUAUUUAUAGCUAGUUAUAAUUCACCUAGUGGUCGCUAUCCUUGAACAUCAUCAGUCAGGUUUUUUAUUUCUAGAUUGAUGAGUACAUUUUGCAUGAGUGAGACAGAUUUUCGAGCAGCGGCAUUCAAAGACCUUACGAACCGCAGGAGCUACCAAGUUUCUUUUCAGGACAGUGCCAUCACAAUAUUAAUUGAGAACUUAUGAGAAAUGACGAGGUCUUUUUAACUGCAGCGUUUUCAGAUCAUCUUCGCAGAAACAUCGUUGUGUUGGAGCUUUUGAAUCCCCAACACCUCAUCACGGCUUUGGAUGGGAUGAGUUCAUUUAUGCGAGAUUUUGAUCAUGGUUAAAUGAAUCAGAGUCUUGAAAGUAGUUGAAAACGACUGUGUCAGAUACGAGCACAUCCUGUAUUUUUUUUUAAGUUUCACUGGUGAAGAUGAAAAAAAUAGAAUUGAGACGCUCCUUGAUCUAGAAAAUGAUUUUCAACUGAAUUUUGUAGACGCUUAAGAUGGUCGAAAAGUAUUUUACAUAGGGCACAUGCAGUGUCCGUGGUUACAAGAAUACCCUGAUCAACUCAGAUUAUCUUGCAGUUAAAACACGCAAUUGAACGAAACUUUGAAGGAUUGCAGUGAUCUGAAGGACUCAACAUAUCAUGUUAUUGCGUUAUAGGUUGAUAUUGGAGUGACAAGAGGAUAAUCCACAUGCUUGUUGGCGUUUGUACACUUGCCUCGGUGGACUGAGAGAGCCCAUAAAUGCCCCCGAUUAUUGCAAACUUCUGACGGAGCUCGUGCCGCUUCUGACAUUGCUUGGUACCACUGCACCCUACUUGUUCUGUCCUACGUGGAUGUCAGUUUCUUAUCACAGUAUCUCAAAACCUGCAGGUCAUUUUAUUUGUGCACAAAGUAGUAUAGAUUUUUGGUAUUUAUGUGUAAUGAACUCAAAUACACUGGAAUCACUCUAUGUCCUUCAUUUUUAUUUUUAUUUUAUUUUUUUCCAACUCUGCUGUUGUAGAUGUGUUGCACACUGCAUUUGACCAUGUAAAAUUUGGAAAUGACACCAAACAUGCUUAAAACUUGCUCUUGCAUGUUUGGAAGAGUCUGUUUUAUCACAAUUCACAGAAUGAAAUUGAGUUUGUAGA